rnacentral:rRNA from 1 species
AACCUGCCCAAGAGAUCGGGAUAACACCUGGAAACAGAUGCUAAUACCGGAUAACAACAGAUGAUGCCUAUCAACUGUUUAAAAGAUGGUUCUACUAUCACUCUUGGAUGGACCUGCGGUGCAUUAGCUAGUUGGUAGGGUAACGGCCUACCAAGGCGAUGAUGCAUAGCCGAGUUGAGAGACUGAUCGGCCACAUUGGGACUGAGACACGGCCCAAACUCCUACGGGAGGCAGCAGAU